rnacentral:rRNA from 1 species
AUUGAACGCUGGCGGCAUGCUUUACACAUGCAAGUCGAACGGCAGCGCGGGCUUCGGCCUGGCGGCGAGUGGCGAACGGGUGAGUAAUACAUCGGAACGUGCCCAGUAGUGGGGGAUAGCUCGGCGAAAGCCGGAUUAAUACCGCAUACGACCUGAGGGUGAAAGCGGGGGAUCUUCGGACCUCGCGCUAUUGGAGCGGCCGAUGGCAGAUUAGCUAGUUGGUGGGGUAAAGGCCUACCAAGGCGACGAUCUGUAGCUGGUCUGAGAGGACGACCAGCCACACGGGGACUGAGACACGGCCCAGACUCCUACGGGAGGCAGCAGUGGGGAAUUUUGGACAAUGGGCGAAAGCCUGGUCCAGCAAUGCCGCGUGUGUGAUGAAGGCCUUCGGGUUGUAAAGCACUUUUGGCGGGAACGAAAAGGACUGUGCCAAUACCACGGUUCGAUGACGGUACCCGCAGAAUAAGCACCGGCUAACUACGUG